rnacentral:rRNA from 1 species
AGUGAACGCUGGCGGUAGGCCUAACACAUGCAAGUCGAACGGCAGCACAGUAAGAGCUUGCUCUUACGGGUGGCGAGUGGCGGACGGGUGAGGAAUACAUCGGAAUCUACUUUUUCGUGGGGGAUAACGUAGGGAAGCUUACGCUAAUACCGCAUACGACCUACGGGUGAAAGCAGGGGAUCUUCGGACCUUGCGCGAUUGAAUGAGCCGAUGUCGGAUUAGCUAGUUGGCGGGGUAAAGGCCCACCAAGGCGACGAUCCGUAGCUGGUCUGAGAGGAUGAUCAGCCACACUGGAACUGAGACACGGUCCAGUCUCCUACGGGAGGCAGCAGUGGGGAAUAUUGGACAAUGGGCGCAAGCCUGAUCCAGCCAUACCGCGUGGGUGAAGAAGGCCUUCGGGUUGUAAAGCCCUUUUGUUGGGAAAGAAAAGCAGCAGGUUAAUACCCCGCUGUUCUGACGGUACCCAAAGAAUAAGCACCGGCUAACUUCGUG